ACAAGCAACAGUUAGCAAGUCAAGUGCAUCGUUCGUCUAUUUUUUCCUCUCGCCUGAACUUUUAUUAAAAACACGGAGGAUUACAUUUGUACAAUAAAACCGUUUUCUAAAAUGGACUUUCAAUCGAAGCAGGAGGUAAUAAUUAAAGGUAGACCUACACCGGAGCUAAAAGGUUUGCUUCAGACUUCGGGACAGAAGACCCGUUCUUUUCAAACGGCGUGGUGGCUGUGUGGAUGUCCAGCAAGAAACCGCCUUUUCUGCUUUUCCUGUCUUCUUUUCUCUUGUUGUGACAAUGCCUGGACUCAGAUGGGAUAUUGUGACCCGAAGAAUUUGCAGAGAAGCCUCAUCAAACAUGAGCGGUCGACCACUCACAUUCAAAGCCAGAUCGGUCGGGAUAUCCAGGAUAGACUUGGCUUUGGAUGAACAGCGAAGACUCAACAUCAGCACCCACAAUGCUAAGUGUUUUCCCGAGUUUUACCUGUUGGAUCUCCUGUCGUUCCCCUCUGGAUUCUGACUGCCUCCCUCGAUCCUCGACCCCCUCGCAUGGACACUGACUCUGACGCCUCUCUCUCGCCCUGGAUCAUCUGCCUGCCCCACGGACUGUCUUCCUGCAUUGUUCCUCCUCUCGCCCAGCACAUCACGAUUGGAUAAUACAAAAAAAGCAGCACUCACAUCUCUGAAGCGAUUCCAGUGCUUGAUCUUGCGGUUGCUGUACUGCGAGACGGUCGACAGCCACCGCUGGUCCAUCAAAUUGGCGCCUCUGGCUGGCGUCGCUCUCUCCUCCUCCC